rnacentral:rRNA from 1 species
UACGUAGGGGGCAAGCGUUGUCCGGAAUCAUUGGGCGUAAAGAGCGUGUAGGCGGCCAACUAAGUCAGACGUGAAAUCCCUCGGCUUAACCGGGGAACUGCCUCUGAUACUGGAUGGCUUGAAUCCGGGAGAGGGAUGCAGAAUUCCAGGUGUAGCGGUGAAAUGCGUAGAUAUCUGGAGGAAUACCGGUGGCGAAGGCGGCAUCCUGGACCGGCAUUGACGCUGAGGGAGCGAAAGCCAGGGGAGCAAACGGG